GGUGAAUUUGAUGGUUUCGCAAUUGAUCAAUGUAAAAUGGCAGAUUUCGUACAAAAUUUUACUCUGACAAAUAAACAACUUUGCGCUGGCGGUCGUCCAGGGAGGGAUUCAUGUCGAGGUGAUUCGGGUGGCACAGCAUCAUGAGGCAGAAAAUACCUAUUAUUACGUGGCCGGUGUUUUUUUCAUUCGGUUCAUCAACGUGCCAUGAACCCGGAUGGAAAGGAGUAUACACUGUACGUUCAACGGUCGUUUAAUUUAAACAGUAUUUUGUGGGUUAUCAUCAGUUAAUUUUUGUUCACACAGAGAGUUGACCAGUAUAUCGAUUGGAUCGUUCCGCCUUGGCCUUUAACAGUCUCAUUUUUAACUUUGCGUAAAAUUACAAAAUACAUGAAAUGAAUGUUAAUAAAUAGAUGUAUUGUAAAUAAAAAAACAAA